rnacentral:rRNA from 1 species
CGUACACUCCUGCGGGAGGCAGCAGUGGGGAAUAUUGCACAAUGGGCGCAAGCCUGAUGCAGCCAUGCCGCGUGUAUGAAGAAGGCCUUCGGGUUGUAAAGUACUUUCAGCGGGGAGGAAGGCGAUAAGGUUAAUAACCUUGUUGAUUGACGUUACCCGCAGAAGAAGCACCGGCUAACUCCGUGCCAGCAGCCGCGGUAAUACGGAGGGUGCAAGCGUUAAUCGGAAUUACUGGGCGUAAAGCGCACGCAGGCGGUCUGUCAAGUCGGAUGUGAAAUCCCCGGGCUCAACCUGGGAACUGCAUUCGAAACUGGCAGGCUAGAGUCUUGUAGAGGGGGGUAGAAUUCCAGGUGGAGCGGUGAAAUGCGUAGAGAUCUGGAGGAAUACCGGUGGCGAAGGCGGCCCCCUGGACAAAGACUGACGCUCAGGUGCGAAAGCGUGGGGAGCAAACAGGAUUAGAUACCCCGGUAGUCCC